AUUUAUAUAGUUUAAAUAAAACAAUACAUUUUCAAUGUAUAAAUAAUAAAAAUAUUUAUAAAUG
rnacentral:tRNA from 1 species